rnacentral:rRNA from 1 species
UAAAGAAUUUCGGUAUGGGAUGGGGAUGCGUUCCAUUAGUUAGUUGGCGGGGUAACGGCCCACCAAGACAACGAUGGAUAGGGGUUCUGAGAGGAAGGUCCCCCACAUUGGAACUGAGACACGGUCCAAACUCCUACGGGAGGCAGCAGUGAGGAAUAUUGGUCAAUGGACGAGAGUCUGAACCAGCCAAGUAGCGUGAAGGAUGACUGCCCUAUGGGUUGUAAACUUCUUUUAUAUGGGAAUAAAAUGUUCCACGUGUGGGAUUUUGUAUGUACCAUAUGAAUAAGGAUCGGCUAACUCCGUGCCAGCAGCCGCGGUAAUACGGAGGAUCCGAGCGUUAUCCGGAUUUAUUGGGUUUAAAGGGAGCGUAGGUGGAUUGUUAAGUCAGUUGUGAAAGUUUGCGGCUCAACCGUAAAAUUGCAGUUGAAACUGGCAGUCUUGAGUACGGUAGAGGUGGGCGGAAUUCGUGGUGUAGCGGUGAAAUGCUUAGAUAUCACGAAGAACUCCGAUUGCGAAGGCAGCUCACUGGACUGCAACUGACACUGAGGCUCGAAAGUGUGGGUAUCAAACAGGAUUAGAUACCCUGGUAGUCCACACAGUAAACGAUGAAUACUCGCUGUUUGCGAUAUACGGCAA